UCACGGGCCCAGCCGCUCCACGGCAUGUGGGAUCCUCCCGGACCGGGGCACGAACCCGUGUCCCCUGCAUCGGCAGGCGGACUCUCAACCACUGCGCCACCAGGGAAGCCCCUGUGACUUUUCUUAUAUGAGCCCACUUUCAAACAGUCUAUGAAAAGUUUUAAGUAAGUCCCCUAGCAAUAAUCCUUGAGGACUCUACUCUGAAAUCAGAAAAAUCCUUCUGGUAUUGGGGAACCAACAGUAGUCAGCAGACCUGCAUACUGGCACCAGUUCUGCCACUUAUUAGUUGUUAGGGUACAGGCAAGUCAUUUAAUCUUAUCAUAAAAAUGCCUCUCCUCCCUUGCAGGUUUGUUCCAAGGAUUUCAUGAGAUAAUGUGUAUGAAAGCACUCUGAAAAUGCUAAACGACUGUAUAAAUAAGUGGUGCUAUUAAUAUCUCCACCCAGAAGCUUGCCUGUUUAAACCACGGUUUCCUAAAGUUAAGGCAGCUCUCUCUUUCAUUCAAUUCAUUCCACAGAUAUUCUUUAAGUGCCUACUUUACCCAACAUAGAACUUUGUCCCCAUUUUCUGAGUAACUUAGUUAAGUAGGGCUUUUCUUCAACGUUUAGUAUGUAAAUUUGUAAACACUUUUUUUUUUUAAAUGUAGCUUUCACUGUUUCUAUGCUUAUUUAUCCCUCAAAGAAUUGUGGUCAAAUAGUGAAACAUGAGACAUGCCGUAGCAUGCUGCAAAGGUAGAAGGCCAGAAGAGUCUCUGCCUGCAUCUCCCACAGAAAACAGGAGUGUCUUCUAUGCAUUCCAGGAGACACGAAGGGAAAGUUCAGACAGGGUACAGCUGAUGGCACAGUGAGAAGGGGAGGAGGAGGAACUGUAUAUAACUUCUCAGAUCCCAACAAUCAGUAUUAUAAGAAAUAGAUUUACUUACAUGAAAGCAGCUUACGGAAAUCUCCUUUAGCUGGUGGCCCAUUCAGCAAAGAAAAAUUUCUUCCAGUUUUAGAAGCUUCUGAAGGUUUAUAAAUACUGUUUCCAAAGGAAAUAUAAAAGGCAAGUGAUUCUUGGAGAAGAGGAAAAAAGACAGAUUUAAAAAAUGAUUUAGCUGUACAGCAGGUUAUGAAGGAGGGAAAAGGAAGAGAUUAAAAUGAUUCUUUCCUUCCUCCCUCUGUGACUCAGAGAUUAAUUUUAAAAAUAAUCUUCAUCCCAGUAUGGGAAGCUGAGCAAAGACUCACAUCUUCACAUUCCAAGUUCCAUGAUGGCCUUGGAGAGGAAAGGAGCAAAAGGAAGAGGGAGAUAGGAAACAGUAACUAUUAAAGAUAAUCUGGAAAAGACUUUACCUACUCAGAAGAGGUGAGAUGAAAUUAAAGGCAGGUCUAGCUGUGAUGAAAUAAGCAUUUUCUGUUAUCGCCCUAUUCUGAAGUAUGUUGUAUCAGCAAGGAUGAAGCCUCAACUUGUCUUUUCAUUCUUACCUCCCACUAACUCUUCUGGUGAUCCAUAUUUUACUCAUUCAAAUGAAUUUUCAUCUUUCAACACCAUUCCUCUUUCUUUGUAUCAGCAACAGAAGGCUUUCUUCUAGGUGUUUCCUAAGUCACAUUUAAUUUAUGUAAGCAUGUUCAUUUUUUUAAAGUUUUUUUAAAUUUUGAAAGUAUUAAAACUUACAGAAAAGUUGCACACAUAGCAUAAUGAACUUUUUUUUAACUGACUAAUUCGAGAGUAAGUUGCUGGCAUGACACCUGUGGUGGAAAUUGAGAUGCAUUGACCAGAUACCCUUCAAGGAAGGACUUGUUGCUCAACUGUGGGGUCAACAAGCAUCUGUCCACUGUCAUUCCCUUCAGGGUUGGCCUCAUCUUCAGAGAGCUACCUUGCCCAAGGAGAUGCCCCUUUCCCAGGUGGCCCAAAUCCAAGGACUGAUCAAGGGAAGGAUAGAGCGGCCUGGCUAUUUUGGCCCUGUGGAGGGCAACUUCAAUGGGCCAUUUCUGCUCAAGAGCUCCCAAUUGGGUUAGUUGAGUUUAUCAGCCUGUAUCUCAGAUCAACAUCUUCCUCUGCCCAAUUCUGUUUUCUUUCCUCCAACCCAUAGACAUGGAUCUCAAGAGCUCGCCUUCAUAAUUAUCCUGAACACUAAAGUCUGUCUCAGAGUCUGCUUCCUGGAAAACCCAAACUGCCACAGUUGGAGCCAGGAGAGAUCGAGAAAGCAGAUGAUAAGAUGGGGUUUUGAAGCUGGAUCACUACCCAGCUGGUAUGAGGACCUCAUCACUGGUGAUGGAUGGAGCACAGAUAGUCCCUGGCAUAAGGUGUCGAUCCCAAAGGCACUCCCUGAUAAACAUCCUGGACACUAAACUCUGACUCAGAGUCUUCUUCCUGCAGAGCCUGAACUGUGAAAAUGCCCUGUUAUCACAAAUACUUUUAGUAUGUAUAUUUUACUAGUGAAUAUUCAUCUAGAUAACCCCAGUACAAUAUCGAAAUCAGGAAUUUAACAUUGAUAUGUUACUGUAUAAUCCUCAUACCCCAUUCAAAUUUUGUCAAUGGUCACAAUAAUGUCCUCUGCCCAGAAAUUGUGCGUUGUAUUUAGCUGUCUCUUCAGUCUUCAAUUUUGAACGGUUCCCUAGUCUUUGCUUUACUUUCAUGACCUUGAUACUCUUUAAGAUUACGGCCACUUAUUUUUGUAGAAUGUCCCUCAGUCUGGGUUUGUCUGAGGUUUUGUGAUGACUAAAUAUAGGUUAUCUUUGGUGGAACGAUUAGAGAAGUGAUGCCACGUUCUCACUGUAUCCUAUUAGGUGGCACAUGACUUCAGUUUGUCGUGUCACUGGUGAUGCUAACUUGAUUAAGGUGGCAUCUGCCUUGUAAUUAAGUAUUUUGUGGGGAAGUACUUUGAGGCUAUGUAAAUAUCCCAUUCUUCAUAAUACUUCCUAGUUAUUCUUUUUAAAAUUUAUUAGCCAAGGAAUUCCUAUUUUAUUCAGUGGACAGUAACCCAUUACUGUCGUUAUUUUGACACUUAGACUGUUCCACAUUUGGUCACUGGGAGCCUCUUCAAGUUGGCUUCUUUAUUCUCUUAACAUAACUCCAUCAUUCUUUUGCACUUCCUUGCUUGCUGCAUGAGAUAGUCCAAGCUUAUUUUGUACUUUUCCUGCUCCAGCCCUGGAAUCAGCCAUUUCUCCAAGGAGCUCUGGUUCCUUCUGGCAGAGAAUGGCAUUCAGAAACUAAGAUCUUGGCGUUAGAUGUGCUCAUUGCUAUUGAGGUAUCAACUGUUCUUAGGCCCUUUCAGCAGACAGAUCUAGGGAAUAUAUGAAAUAUAUGUAUGUAUAUGUAUAUAUGUAUUUAUGUAUAUAAAUUUACAUUUAUGUUUACACAAACACAUUUUACAUCUAUAUUUCUAUAUCUAUAUAUAUUCAAAAUCAUGAGUUCAUGCUGAUACCUCCAAUUUCAAUCCAAUACCAACUAGUUCAUUCUAGUUUUUUCAUUAUUCAUAUAUGUAACUACCAUCUCUACCAGUAACAAAUGUAACUCCCAUUAUCCUUAGUAUGACUAUUAUAUUUCAUCAAUCCUUCUGUGCAUAAAUAAUCUCCUGUGAUUACCCCUUCCCCCUGUGUGGACACCUCCUCACCUUGCACUGGGCUGCUGCUCUGCCUUGGGCUCCAAUGCUUGGACUUGCUUGGGCUCCAAUGCUCCAAGCUGGACCAUCCCCUGCACAGUCACCUUCCUCACCCUGGUCUGACUCUGACACCCUGUGCCAGAUGGCCUUCCUUCAAUGGAUGGCCUCCUUACCCAGCUUGAUCUCUGCACCCACACUAGGCCUCCUUUCUUCCUCUCCCUUCCCCCUUCCCCAUGUGGAUAGCUAUCUUACCCUCAUUGGGUUCCAACGCCUGGCAACCACAGGCUAACCCUCUGCAGGGACUCCAUUCUCACUAUGCUCAGGAUACCACACCGGUCUCCCUCUCCGUGGGGGGGACACGCUCCUCAUCCCAGUCAGGCCACCCUCCACACAGACGCCCUUCUCACCUGUCUUGGGCUUUGACACCUGCACCUGGCUGACCUUUUACCCAGAUGCCCUCCUCACACCUUUCAGCCACCACAGUUCCACACCCCCACCAAGGACACCAACCUUGCUUGGCUCCAUGAAUUGGCUUUUGGCCUGAUUUGUACAGAAAGGAGAGGGAAAAGGAUGGGAAGGUAGAGGAAGAAGUGGCAGACCAUUAAUUCAUUCUUUGAAGUUCAUUUUUUUAAAGUUUUAUUCUAUUUAUUUAUUUUUUGGCCAUGCCGCGUGGCUUGUGGGAUCUUAGUUCCCCGACCGGAGGUUGAACUGCACCCUCAGCAGUGAAUGCAUGGAGUCCUAACCACUGGGCCACCAGGGAAUUCCCUAAAGUUCAUUUUUAAUAGAAUCAUUUUUCUGAUAUUUACUUCCAGUUUGGUUUGGGGCUCGAUUUAUUUCUUUUUUUCUUUUUCUUUUUUCUGACUAGAUUUAUUUCUGACGUCAUGUCUGUUAAAUUCAUGUUUGCCAAAAGAGCCAAA